rnacentral:rRNA from 1 species
AGAUAUGACUUAGUGGCGGACGGGUGAGUAACACGUGAGCAACCUGCCUUUCAGAGGGGGAUAACGGCUGGAAACGGUCGCUAAUACCGCAUGACGUGUUCGGAUGGCAUCAUCUGAACAUCAAAGAUUUAUCGCUGAGAGAUGGACUCGCGUCCGAUUAGCUAGAUGGUGAGGUAACGGCCCACCAAGGCGACGAUCAGUAGCCGGACUGAGAGGUUGACCGGCCACAUUGGGACUGAGAUACGGCCCAGACUCC